GGAUUACGGGUACGAGGAAUUAGGGUUUGAUAUCGAAGAGGGAGCCUGAGAAACGGCUACCACUUCUAAGGAAGGCAGCAGGCGCGUAAAUUACCCAAUUCCAAUUCGGAGAGGUAGUGACAAGAAAUAAUAACUCGGAUAGUUUACACUAUUACGAGAUUAAAAUGAGAACAAUUUAAAAAUCUUAUCGAGGAACAAUGAGAGGACAAGUCUGGUGCCAGCACCCGCGGUAAUUCCAGCUCUUAUAGUGUAUAUUAAAGUUGUUGCAGUUAAAAAGCUCGUAGUCUAAUAUCUAGUGCGGCGCGUGCUGGCUCACUGCCAGCGCGACGCGGUGCUAUCUGUUCGAGAACUUCUUCUAUCUUAACUGGUCGGAGAUGCUGAUCGGACUCUUUCCUGAGAAAAAAUUAGAGUGUUUAUAGCAGGCUAAUGCAAUGAAUAUUACAGCUUGGAAUAAUAGAAUAAGACUGGAGUGUCUUUUGUUGGUUAUGAACUUUAGUAAUGGUUAAUAUAAACAGUCGGGGGUAUUAGUAUUUAAGUGUCAGAGGUGAAAUUCUAUGAUCACUUAAAGACUAACUUAUGCGAAAGCAUUUACCAAGGAUGUUUUCAUUGAUCAAGAACGAAAGUUAGGGGAUCAAAGACGAUCAGAUACCGUCCUAGUCUUAACUAUAAACGAUUCCGACCAAGGAUCGGGGAGGUCUGCUAAGCCUUCUCGGCACUUUAUGAGGAAUCAAAGUCUUUGGGUUCUGGGGGAAGUACGGACACAAGUCUGAAACUUAAAUUGACGGAAGGGCACACAAGAUGUGGAGACUGCGGCUUAAUUUGACCCAACACGGGGAAACUUACUAGAGCAAGACUAAGGUUGGAUUGACAGAAUGAGAGCUCUUUCUUGAUUCUUAGGGUGGUGGUGCAUGGCCGUUCUUAGUUGGUGGAGUGAUUUGUCUGGUUAAUUCCGUUAACGAACGAGACUUUAACCUGCUAAACUAGGAGCCGGAUUACUCAUCUGGUUUCCUUCUUAGAGGGACUACGUGUUCAAGCACAAGGAAGUAUGAGGCAAUAACAGGUCUGUGAUGCCCCUAGACGUUCUAGGCCGCACGCGUUCUACAAUGACGUAUUCAACGAGUUUCUUCCUGGCCUGGAAAGGUUCGGGUAAUCUUCAUAGGAUACAGUCGUGCUUUGGGAUUGUCCUUUGCAAUUAUAGGACAUAAACUAGGAAUAUCUAGUAUAGGUGCGUCAUCAGCGCACCUAGAUUAAGUCCCUGCCCUUUGUACACACCGCCCGUCGCUCCUACCGAUUUUGAGUGAUUAGGUGAACCUUCUGGAUCAGCGUGGUCUUCAAGUCCAUGCUGAGAAGUUAAGUAAAUCAUUAUCACUUAGAGGAAGGAGAAGUCGUAACAAGGUU
rnacentral:rRNA from 1 species